AUGCUCGCUUCGGUAGCACAUACACUAAAAUUAGAACAAUACAGAGAAGUUUUGCAUGGCCCGUGCACAAAGAUGACACGCACAUUCGGAGAGCACUCCAUAUUAAAU